GACGAACGCUGGCGGCGUGCCUAACACAUGCAAGUCAGGGGGAAAGCUGGCUUCGGCCAGGCCUAACACAUGCAAGUCGAGCGGAGCUAAUUAAAAAGCUUGCUUUUCAAUUAGCUUAGCGGCGGACGGGUGAGUAACGCGUGGGCAACCUGCCCUAUGCAGGGGGAUAACAUAGCGAAAGGUAUGCUAAUACCCCAUAAGACUACUAAAUCGCAUGAUAAAGUAGUCAAAGAUUUAUCGGCAUAGGAUGGGCCCGCGUCUGAUUAGCUAGUUGGUAGGGUAACGGCCUACCAAGGCGACGAUCAGUAGCCGACCUGAGAGGGUGAACGGCCACACUGGAACUGAGACACGGUCCAGACUCCUACGGGAGGCAGCAGUGGGGAAUAUUGCACAAUGGGGGAAACCCUGAUGCAGCAACGCCGCGUGAGCGAAGAAGGCCUUCGGGUCGUAAAGCUCUGUCCUAAGGGAAGAAGCCUGACGGUACCUUAGGAGGAAGCCCCGGCUAACUACGUGCCAGCAGCCGCGGUAAUACGUAGGGGGCAAGCGUUAUCCGGAAUCACUGGGCGUAAAGGGUGCGUAG
rnacentral:rRNA from 1 species